AUCAAACACACUGAAGAUACUGAAGAACUAACAGAGUUGACUGAAGAAAGUGAGGAGACUGAAGAAUUGAGUGAAGUUGAGGGGAAAAAUCACUUCAGAACUG